AGAGUUUGAUCCUGGCUCAGGAUGAACGCUAGCUACAGGCUUAACACAUGCAAGUCGAGGGGCAGCAUGGUCUUAGCUUGCUAAGGCCGAUGGCGACCGGCGCACGGGUGAGUAACACGUAUCCAACCUGCCGUCUACUCUUGGACAGCCUUCUGAAAGGAAGAUUAAUACAAGAUGGCAUCAUGAGUCCGCAUGUUCACAUGAUUAAAGGUAUUCCGGUAGACGAUGGGGAUGCGUUCCAUUAGAUAGUAGGCGGGGUAACGGCCCACCUAGUCUUCGAUGGAUAGGGGUUCUGAGAGGAAGGUCCCCCACAUUGGAACUGAGACACGGUCCAAACUCCUACGGGAGGCAGCAGUGAGGAAUAUUGGUCAAUGGGCGAGAGCCUGAACCAGCCAAGUAGCGUGAAGGAUGACUGCCCUAUGGGUUGUAAACUUCUUUUAUAAAGGAAUAAAGUCGGGUAUGGAUACCCGUUUGCAUGUACUUUAUGAAUAAGGAUCGGCUAACUCCGUGCCAGCAGCCGCGGUAAUACGGAGGAUCCGAGCGUUAUCCGGAUUUAUUGGGUUUAAAGGGAGCGUAGAUGGAUGUUUAAGUCAGUUGUGAAAGUUUGCGGCUCAACCGUAAAAUUGCAGUUGAUACUGGAUAUCUUGAGUGCAGUUGAGGCAGGCGGAAUUCGUGGUGUAGCGGUGAAAUGCUUAGAUAUCACGAAGAACUCCGAUUGCGAAGGCAGCCUGCUAAGCUGCAACUGACAUUGAGGCUCGAAAGUGUGGGUAUCAAACAGGAUUAGAUACCCUGGUAGUCCACACGGUAAACGAUGAAUACUCGCUGUUUGCGAUAUACGGCAAGCGGCCAAGCGAAAGCGUUAAGUAUUCCACCUGGGGAGUACGCCGGCAACGGUGAAACUCAAAGGAAUUGACGGGGGCCCGCACAAGCGGAGGAACAUGUGGUUUAAUUCGAUGAUACGCGAGGAACCUUACCCGGGCUUAAAUUGCAGAUGAAUUACGGUGAAAGCCGUAAGCCGCAAGGCAUCUGUGAAGGUGCUGCAUGGUUGUCGUCAGCUCGUGCCGUGAGGUGUCGGCUUAAGUGCCAUAACGAGCGCAACCCUUGUUGUCAGUUACUAACAGGUUCCGCUGAGGACUCUGACAAGACUGCCAUCGUAAGAUGUGAGGAAGGUGGGGAUGACGUCAAAUCAGCACGGCCCUUACGUCCGGGGCUACACACGUGUUACAAUGGGGGGUACAGAGGGCCGCUACCACGCGAGUGGAUGCCAAUCCCCAAAACCUCUCUCAGUUCGGACUGGAGUCUGCAACCCGACUCCACGAAGCUGGAUUCGCUAGUAAUCGCGCAUCAGCCACGGCGCGGUGAAUACGUUCCCGGGCCUUGUACACACCGCCCGUCAAGCCAUGGGAGCCGGGGGUACCUGAAGUGCGUAACCGCGAGGAGCGCCCUAGGGUAAAACUGGUGACUGGGGCUAAGUCGUAACAAGGUAGCCGUACCGGAAGGUGCGGCUGGAACACCU
rnacentral:rRNA from 2 species